UAAAACAAGGGAGAGGGUGUUCAGGGGAAGACCCAGACCAUCCCCUCUUCAUCCUAGGGCACACAGGGAAGAACGGAUAAGGGAGAAAUGUGA